GACUUGAAUGUUGAUUGAAAUGUUGCAUCAGCGCAAUUGAUACAAUUUAUAUAACGAUGAUGGACAUUGCCCGCAGUGAUCUGUAAACCGCAGCAUUUUCGAAAUUAUGCAAAUCACGGAUAUAUGCAGAUAACGUAUUUUGCGAUUCAAACUAAAGCGCAUUCGAUAUUUAUAAAAGUCUGUGCGAUUUCGAUCGCGAAAGAAAUUCUUACAAUGAGAUCGGCUUAUUGGAGUCCUGCAAAACCCUCGAGGAAAAACGGUGUUACAGAGAAUAUUGUAUACUUUGUCGCGUAUGUUGUCAUAUCGAUCGAGCUUCUCACACCGUGCUGAGUGUGUCAGUGCACGCGUGUUAAAGUGCGCAAUUGGGUUUGCAUUUCGUGUAGUAUACGCAUUUGAAUCGUGAGGGAAUCAGACAGUAAUAGGAUCUCCACCAGUGUUUGUGCGGUUCGAGAUAAUGAAAGGAGUCAAUCAACUCUCGCUGGCGUGGAACUAGUUAACCGAUGUUGCUAACGAUUUCAUUUCUACGCUCUCAGCGAGCGCUUAACUGAACCUUACAGGACUAACCGCUUGUUUGAAGACUUGGUCGAUCAAUUGCGCGAUAAGGAUGGCUUGAUGCCAAAAGAUAAAAGAACCAUUAGUACAACUCACCCGCGGCAUCUUUAAAGGAUAUUUCGAUGUUCGAAUUGGUGUCACGAUGAUUUCUCGCAAAAGAAGUUGGAUGCGAGCGCUUUCUUCGGCGACGAGGGAGGACAGCUGGCGGCGGUACGGUUUCCUCAGGGCUUCUCAGGGGCUAACAGCGGGGGUGCGGUCGCUUGCGUUCGCCACGGACGGCUGGACUUCACUGAGGCGCCGUCGACGAAUCGGCGUCGCGACGCUUCUGCCGUCUUGUUCCCGCAGGGGAUCCCACCGCGGGUGGCAGGAUCGCGUGCCGCGCGCGGCACCCACGAACGCCUGAACGCGGUUCCCGCAAGUCAACGGGGACGGGGGUGCCGUACGCGAGGGUGUCCCGGCACAUGUAUCCCCCCGCGUACGCGGUGAACGAGGGCUGAGCAAUGUAGACGUGGUGUGAACAUUAGAGCCGGGAGAAGUCGAAAUUUGCUACCUGGUUACGCGUAAACGGACAGAACGUUCAACUUGAUAGCUUAUCAGUUUUGUGAUUGUAACUGCAUAUCGAUCGCUUUAAAAGGAUAAAUUUCAAAUAAUUUUAAAAUUUCAAAUAAUUUUAAAAAGAUUAUAAAUAAAUAAGUUAAAGUGUUAUAUAUAAUGAUAGACGUGAUGAAUGAACGUUUGUUAUUUGUGAUCAAAAAUUGUUAUUUAUAAUAUAUUUUUUUCUUUAUUGACA